AGCAGCAGCCGCGGUAAUACGUAGGUGGCAAGCGUUGUCCGGAGUUGUUGGGCGUAAAGGGCUCGCAGGCGGUUUCUUAAGUCUGAUGUGAAAGCCCCCGGCUCAACCGGGGAGGGUCAUUGGAAACUGGGAAGCUUGAGUGCAGAAGAGGAGAGUGGAAUUCCACGUGUAGCGGUGAAAUGCGUAGAGAUGUGGAGGAACACCAGUGGCGAAGGCGACUCUCUGGUCUGUAACUGACGCUGAGGAGCGAAAGCGUGGGGAGCGAACAGGAUUAGAUACCCCCGUAGUCCCUGUCUCUUAUAC
rnacentral:rRNA from 1 species